UUUUUUUUUCAUUAGUUCAUUGUUUAGUUCGAAUACAUAAUCCAUAAAAAUUAAUUUUUUUUAGAUUAGAAUUUUCUUGAGUGUUACCAUAGAGAAAAAGUUGUACUUAUUUCACAUAAUUCUUUUUUCUCAAGUUAUGUCAAGUAUUUUCUCUCUUUUUUAAUAGUCAAGUAGUUUAAGCUUUUGCUAGCUUGCUAAGUUGGUAUUUUAUCUAAUUAGAUGUGUUAAGUAUGUGAAGCAUGUAUGCUGUAGUUAUGCUCGCGUCAAGGUAACAUGUGACAAAAUGGCUUUAUUGGUUAUUAUUGCCAACUUAGAAUUUAUAGUAAAUUACAAAUUUGGUCCUCAUGCUUUACCAAAAAUCUCAAGUUCAGUCCAAAUUCUGUACUUCUCUCAAUGUGAUCCUCGACUCAUUAAAUGACUUCAUCUUUUGGACUAAACUUUUGCUUUUAAAGUACGGGGACAAUAUCCACAAUGAAAAUACAAUUGAGACAAUUUUAAAAUUUGGACUAAAUUUGCAACUUUUACGUAAAUUAUAAUGACCAAAUUUGUAAUUUACUCUAGAAAUUAUUUGUAGGUAUCAGUACGCACCAACUUAUUUAAAAAAAAAAAAGUCUAUUUCAGGUUAUAGUUUAGAAAUUGACAAAAACAAAACUGGUCUAAAAUGUCAAAAGUCAUUUGAAGUUUUAUUUAAAAUGCUUACCACUGAAUAUAAUUUAUAAAAUCGUAUUAAUUACCUAUAAAUUAAAAAAAUAAACAACGCGUACCUAACAAGAUUUGUUUUAUUUAAAAUGCUUACAACCCAACAACCAAUCAUUGAUUUAUAUAUGCGAUUUAAAAUUGGAGAAAAAGGAAAAAAGGUGGAUGAAAUGGGGCCUCCAUAGAAACAUGCUUUUAAAAUUUGUACAGUUUUCCCUCUCUUCUCUCAUCACUUCCAACAUACCUUUUCUUUAAGAAAUCAUUUUCCCAAACCAACAGCCCCCUAUACCAACUUGUACCCAAUGCUUUAAGAGUUGUACACAUCUCUAAAUUCACCAACUUCCACCCUGGAAAAAAGACCAAACCUUCUUUUUGCUCAUCAUUAUCAGCAGAGCUGACCAACUUAAAUACACCAACAGAUCUGCACACCACAAUCCCCACCUUCCCCACAGCCCAAAACCACCAUUUUUAACCAAAUUUACACACUGACACACAGUGUGAAAAACAGCAUCAAUCUUUCAUCUUCUGCAAGCUGAUAUGAUAUGAGAUGCAAAAUCCUAUGAAAAAACUCUACAUUACAUGGGAAUAAUCAAAUCAAAGGCAAUGGAGAAGAGCCCUUUUGCAAGGUGGAGGUUGUGAAGUUCUGAUUCCUGGCUUUGGUGGUGGUGUUGAUUCCAUUCCAAGUGUUUUUAGUAGGAAGUUCCUUUCCUGAAAAAAAAAAAUGUAUAAACAUAAAUUUGUACUUCAAAGUCAUAAAAAAUGCUAAGGUAGUGUUCUGUAUGGAGUAAUCAAAGAGGGAAUGGAAGAUUCCAUUCCAUUCCAUUCCUUUUGUGAUUCCAUUCCAUCUUAGCAAGAGAGCUUACACUUUCUGAAAACUGUGGGCUUGGAAUUCCUGCUGCCAUUGAUCUAAACAAUGGAGUUACUUGAAGUGGGGAAUUGAAUUGUGAAUUUGGCAAGGGACAUAUGCCUCCAACAUCAUUCUCACAUUCAUCACAAGAAGCUAAAACAUCUGUGUAAACAUAGGUUUCUUGUUAGGGGUAAAAAAGGUAACUCACACCAAAUCUUCACCCUGUAUAGCAAAAUUUACCUAGGUUUGUUGUUGAAUCAGGUGUUAUUAUAUUUUUACCACAAAUUUUCUCAA